AUUGAACGCUGGCGGCAUGCCUUACACAUGCAAGUCGAACGGUAACGGGCCUUCGGGUGCCGACGAGUGGCGAACGGGUGAGUAAUACAUCGGAACGUGCCCGAUCGUGGGGGAUAACGAGGCGAAAGCUUUGCUAAUACCGCUUACGAUCUACGGAUGAAAGCAGGGGACCGCAAGGCCUUGCGCGGACGGAGCGGCCGAUGGCAGAUUAGGUAGUUGGUGGGAUAAAAGCUUACCAAGCCGACGAUCUGUAGCUGGUCUGAGAGGAUGAUCAGCCACACUGGGACUGAGACACGGCCCAGACUCCUACGGGAGGCAGCAGUGGGGAAUUUUGGACAAUGGGCGCAAGCCUGAUCCAGCCAUGCCGCGUGCAGGAUGAAGGCCUUCGGGUUGUAAACUGCUUUUGUACGGAACGAAAAGCCUUCUUUUAAUACAGGAGGGUCAUGACGGUACCGUAAGAAUAAGCACCGGCUAACUACGUG
rnacentral:rRNA from 1 species